rnacentral:rRNA from 1 species
UACGUAGGGAGCAAGCGUUGUCCGGAAUCAUUGGGCGUAAAGCGCGCGUAGGCGGCCUUGUAAGUCCGUUGUGAAAGUCAAAGGCUCAACCUUUGAAAGCCGAUGGAUACUGCAAGGCUGGAGUCCGGAAGAGGCGAGUGGAAUUCCUGGUGUAGCGGUGGAAUGCGCAGAUAUCAGGAGGAACACCGAUUGCGAAGGCAGCUCGCUGGGACGGUACUGACGCUGAGGCGCGAAAGCGUGGGGAGCGAACAGG